CAGAAAGUAGUUUAAUUUAGAAUACCAGCUUUGGGAGUUGGAGGUAGAGGUUUGAUCCCUUUCUUUCUGA
rnacentral:tRNA from 1 species